rnacentral:lncRNA from 1 species
UUUAUUGUCUUUGGUUACAUCUUCUGACAUCAGACUCGGACUUCUCUUGAACUGCAUUUUAAUGUGCGUAUUGUUAUGCGUUUACUUUUCUACAUUGGUUAGAGGUAAAGGGGGAGGGUUGAGAUCUCACAAACAUGUUUAACCCCGCCGCAUUUUUGCGCCUGUCCCAAGUCAGGAGCCUCUGGCCUUUGUUAGUCUUGUAUUAUUUUAAUUUUAGUUUCUUGUGUACAAUUUGGAAAUUAGUAUCGCGUUCAUUAUCACUGGACUAGUAUAUAUUUGUUUAGGGGCCAGCUGAAGGACGCCUCCGGGUGCGGGAAUUUCUCGCUACAUUGAAGACCUGUUGGUGACCCUCUGCUGUUGUUUUUUAUUUGGUCGGGUUGUUGUCUCUUUGACACAUUCCCCAUUUCCAUUCUCAAUUUUAUUAAUUAAUUUUUCCUUAUUUGUUCAGGUUUUUUGUUAAUAAGGCAGUUGGUUAAAAUUUGUAGAAAAAAAAUAAAGUUAUAUCUUUUACAUAGAGAAAGGACAUGCACUUGUCUGUAAUAGCUAUUUUGUCAAAUUACACAUGUUACACUGUACUUGUCUUAAUUCCUUUAACGAUGAAUAAUGUAAAGCUUUUAAAAAAAUCACCAAAAUUAGCUUUUUAUUGUGGAAAAAAAAUCAUAAAAAAAACUUUGAUUUUGCAAUAUACAAUGUUAUCAUAAGUAACAUAAAGUAAUCAUGAAUACUUAAAAGAAAAGUAAUCUAAUGUACUCGAUUACAUAUGAAAAAGGGUGUAAUUGUAAUGUGAUCGAUUACAUUUUCAAAGUAAUCGACCUCAUCCCUGCUCUUAACUUAACAAUGUCAAUCGCUUAACCAAACCGUACCAAUUUGGAUAUCUUGGUUAUCCUAGGUUAGUUUUAGAACAACAAUUUCCAUUGACAUAGAUAGACUGACAAUACAGAUUAAAACAUUUAAUUUGCCUUUUAUUUACUAAUUUUGAAAAAAAAAACCUGAGGUAAUCGUUUUGGGAAGUUACAUAACUUAUCCAUGACCAACUUAACCAAAUUUUGAUAAAAUCACUGUACUAAACGCUCAUUGAUAUGACGACCUUACUCACCAUGUGCUUUAUACUUUUUUUUAAAACUGAAUAUGAUAUUAAGUACUUAAUGAAAGAACGGAUACAAGACAGAAAAUCGACAAAAGAUAUGUGCAAAAUAUUAGUUAUUUUUUGUUUAUAACUUCGUUAAAAUCAAAUAUGUAGCACUAUGUUAAUGUUACAUGCAUGUUAUACAUGCAUGAUUUUUAUCUUUGAUACGAUCCCUUUAUUUCUCCUGUAAACUGUAGGUGUCAUUAGUCGGUAUCGAGAGUUGUUGACAAGGUUUAUUAAUAGUAUGCUAAUCGAGGAGGAUAAAUCAUCAAUAAGAGUAAACAAAUAAGUAUUAUUAAUAUCUGAUGUUAGAAUUCACCAGGAGUUGUUUUCAGUGGAUUGUAUUGUAUAAGGUUUCAUCACCAAUGUUGUUCAGUUAAAUUGGAAUUAAUAAUCAGUGGUGUGCACAUUACAAAGAGUCCCCAGUUAUCGAAUUAUGAGUUUACUACGAUACUUUUCAGAAGUGUGUGCGUUAAUCAUAUGUAAACAUGUAUGUGUGUUCAUGGUCGUACUUUGACCUUUAUUUGAUUACUCUUUACAUAUUGUCAACGGAGGGAAAGUUGUCUCGUUGUCAGUCAUACCACAUCUUCUUAUUUAUAUUUAAUUAGGGUUUAAAGUCGUCCGUGGGUUUACCCAUAUUCAUCAAUGAAUGAUGGAUUUAUCAUGUUCUUUAAAUUUGAUCACUGUUGAAAAUCAUUGAUCUGUAAAAUUCAAGAGGAAUGCUUAUCAUCAUUUAUAUAAAUUAUAAAGAUCCAUCAUCAGUGAAGUGUGUGAAUUUAUAAGGAUGCAAUAUCAGUGAAGUUUGUGAAUUUAUAAGGAUGCAUUAUCAGUAAAUUGUACUGUUAUGAUUAUUUAUCAUCAGUGAAGUUUGUGAAUUUAUAAGGAUGCAUUAUCAGUAAAUGAAGUGUGUGAAUUUAUAAGGAAGCAUUAUCAGUGAGUUGUACAGUUAUGAUGAUUUAUCAUCAGUGAAGUGUGUGAAUUUAUAAGGAUGCAUUAUCAGUAAAUUGUACUGUUAUGAUGAUUUAUCAUCAGUUAAGUGUGUUAAUUUAUAAGGAUAUAUUGUCAGUAAAUUGUACAGUUAUGAUUAUUUAUCAUCAAGGAAGUAUAAUGUUGCUAGAUUGAAAAUAAGUGGUGAUUUAACUAAAAUAUGUUCACCAUCAAUAGUGUUUGAAUUAUUAAUAACUCAAUUCAGUACUGUUUAAUAAUGAGAAUUCCUAAUAAGGGAAGUGUGGGUUGUAUCAGAAUUCAAUAUUAUUAGUGUUAAUAUAUAUCAGGAGUGACUUCAUCAUCUUCAGCGACGCUAGGAUUCACAAUGUGUUAUCAUCAUUGUUAAUUUAGUAUAUCCGUGCCAUCUAAAAAUUGUAUCAAAAUUAUCAAAGGUGUGUAUUAUUAAGAGGGCACACUGUCAAAUGUGUGUAUUAGAAAAAGGGCACACCAUCAAAUGUGUGUAUUACUAAGAGGGCACACCAUCAAAUGUGUGUAUUAUUGAGAAGGCGCCCCAUCUAUGAUUCAUCUUCAGCGAUGCUGGGAUUCACAAGGUGUUUUCAUAAUUGUUAAUUUAGUAUAUCCGUGCCAUCUACAAAUUAUAUCAAAAUUAUCAAAGGUGUGUAUUAUUAAGAGGACACACUGUCAAAUGUGUGUAUUACAAAAAGGGCACACCAUCAAAUGUGUGUAUUACUAAGAGGGCACACCAUCAAAUGUGUUUAUUAUUAAGAAGGCACACCAUCUAUGAUUCAUCUUCAGCGAUGCUGGAUUCACAAGGUGUUUUCAUCAAUGUUAAUUUAGUGUAUCUGUUCCACCUACCAAUUAUAUCAAAAGUAUAGGAAAGACUAUAUGAUCUCAUUUAUGGUUAAUUUUAUGUAAGGGGGUCUGUAAUUCAGUUUGACAACUUCAGAAAAUACUACUUUUGACUUUUUUUAAACUGAAACAAACACUUUUCAACUGAAAAAGUCAUGUUCAAAUUGUGUUCGCAUGUAAUUUUACCCCUAUUUGUUAAGAAAGUUGUAUGACAAAAUUUGCAAGUUACACUGUCCUUACUUUAUACUUAAGGAAGCUCGAGGGUAUAAAAAUUUCAGAAAAAAAUUAAAGAUUUGGUUUUCAUUACACAUUUUAUUUAUUACCUUUUGAAGAUGUUACUUUAUCAUAUGGUACAACAAACAUUCAAAACAAUUAAUUCGUGUUGGCCCCAGAUGACUUUUAAAAUGUAAACAUCAUUGAAAAAGUUCCAAAUUAUCUCCCUUUUGUGGAAAAAUGCCAUUUUUUAGCUUUAAAAUUGAAAUAUCUCUUUUAACUCAUCGGUGACCUAUAUUUUAUUAAUAUAAUUUCGAUAUAUGCUGUACUUAAACUAAAUUAUUGUAAAAUUUGAGCGAUUUCUGUAAUAAAUUUCUUUUUUUAUUUCGAUAUUAACUUUAUUUCUCCUAUUAGUUCAACAGAAAAGAAGCACUUACAAAAUUAUGCUUCUUUCCGAUUGUGAGCGCAAAUGAACUCAUUUUUUAUUUUAUUUUUCUAUAAACUUCAUUUAUUAUAUCCUAUAUAAAUGAUUUAGACCCGCGAACCCCCUUAACAGCGAAAAUCAAAGAUCAAUAACUGUGUCCUCAGAACAAUUCCCAUGUCAUUGAUAUAAUACUAUUUGUAUGUUUAUAUUAUCUGUUACGUCACUUACUCUAUCUCUACAUUCCAAAUCAGCUCCAUUGAUAUAAUACUAUUUGUAUGUUUAUAUUAUCUGUUACGUCACUUACUUUAUCUCUAUAUUCCAAAUCAGCUCCAUUGAUAUAAUACUAUUUGUAUGUUUAUAUUAUCUGUUACGUCACUUACUUUAUCUCUAUAUUCCAAAUCAGCUCCAUUGAUAUAAUACUAUUUGUAUGUUUAUGUUAUCUGUUACGUCACUUACUUUAUCUCUAUAUUCCAAAUCAGCUCCAUUGAUAUAAUACUAUUUGUAUGUUUAUGUUAUCUGUUACGUCACUUACUUUUAUCUCUAUAUUCCAAAUCAGCUCCAUUGAUAUAAUACUAUUUGUAUGUUUAUGUUAUCUGUUACGUCACUUACUUUAUCUCUCUAUAUUCCAAAUCAGCUCCAUUGAUAUAAUACUAUUUGUAUGUUUAUGUUAUCUGUUACGUCACUUACUUUAUCUCUAUAUUCCAAAUCAGCUCCAUUGAUAUAAUACUAUUUGUAUGUUUAUGUUAUCUGUUACGUCACUUACUUUAUCUCUAUAUUCCAAAUCAGCUCCAUUGAUAUAAUACUAUUUGUAUGUUUUAUAUUAUCUGUUACGUCACUUACUUUAUCUCUAUAUUCCAAAUCAGCUCCAUUGAUAUAUAAUACUAUUUGUAUGUUUUAUGUUAUCUGUUACGUCACUUACUUUAUUUAUCUCUAUAUUCCAAAUCAGCUCCAUUGAUAUAAUACUAUUUGUAUGUUUUAUGUUAUCUGUUACGUCACUUACUUUAUCUCUAUAUUCCAAAUCAGCUCCAUUGAUAUAAUACUAUUUGUAUGUUUAUGUUAUCUGUUACGUCACUUACUUUAUCUCUAUAUUCCAAAUCAGCUCCAUUGAUAUAAUACUAUUUGUAUGUUUAUAUUAUCUGUUACGUCACUUACUUUAUCUCUAUAUUCCAAAUCAGCUCCAUUGAUAUAAUACUAUUUGUAUGUUUAUAUUAUCUGUUACGUCACUUACUUUAUCUCUAUAUUCCAAAUCAGCUCCAUUUUCAAUGGAAAGUUUUAAAUCUGUUAAACUUCCUUCACGAGCAGCUUUGAUAAGUUUCUGUAAAGAAAGCCAAAUGUUGAUUACAAAAUUGUAUGAUAUACAUUGUAUAUGAGUGCACAGCUCUUGGAUAGAUAAUAUAAUCUAUUAUUGGCCACACGACGAAUUAUAUGAAUACACCUCCGGGUGCGGGAAUUUUUCGCUACAUUGAAGACCUGUUGGUGACCUUUUGCUGUUGUUUUUUCUAUGGUCGGGUUGUUGUCUCUUUGACACAUUCCCCAUUUCCAUUCUCAAUUUUACCAUAUGUUGUUUAACAGAGCACUUCAGCUUUAAUGUUAACUUACAAAAUAUAUCAACAAUAUAUUCAAAUUAUGAAUUUGAGCCAAAAGCAUACUGUUUAAUUUCACAGUUGAUAAACAAAUAUUUUCAAUAAUGUAUGGUAAUUGAAAGAAACAAUAUUAAUGAUUAAAACUUAUAUAAUUGAUAUUUGAAAAGGGCAUAUACAGUUUUCAUUGUGUGACGUCGAUUGCAUCUUUGAAGGUUUCAACAAUUUCAAACAUUAAAAUAAUAUUGUAGAAUGACCCGGGAGAAUAAUGUGUUUCUAUCUCUGAGAAUAUUUUAACCUGUAUGUUAUAUGUGGUAAUUUAAGAAAAUAAGUGACAUGCACACUUGACUUUUAAAGUGAAAUUCGUACCUCAUUCCAACUAGCCAUUGUAUCCUGAAAAAAGACAAUAAUUCAUUUUUGAGAUUAACGUCAACGUUAGAACAAAUACACGUACGUACAUUUGACACCUGAUCACAUAAUUAACAAAACGUCAUUAUAAAACAAUAUAAAUCAAGUAAGUGUUGACCUCGUUAAAUGUCAUUUGGUUUCUUUAGUCAUUAAUUUGACGAGUUAUUAAUCAAAACUCCACCGAAUGGAUAACAAAACUGUCUAAUAACAAACAACUGUACUUAAUUGUUGAUAAAAAGAAAAAAAAAUUGAUAUUCGUAACAUUGUAAAUCGUGUUUUAGAAUCCUUUCAACGAAAACACUCUAUCUUAUAAAUUCAACCCUACCUGAAUUACAACAAGAGCUACAACGCAAUGAGAGUUUUUAAUUUCCAAAUAUAAAGGCAAUAAUUGCGCUCCCAUUCAUUUCCUACAUUAAUCUCUGCAUAUUUAUCAUACAAAGUCUAAUGACAUAACAAAUCCGUAAAUAUUUAAAAUGACUUAUUGCAAAUAAAAGUGCAUUUAUUUCCAGAAAAAAAGAAAAGGUCAGCACUUUUAUACAAUGCAAACAAAAUUUCACUGACCUAUCUUUUAUUUUCAUCUUAUUUUAGACAUAACAAUUAAUAUAGAUGUACACAAAGUCUUAUAAACAAAGGCCGUUCAUGUUUAUUAUCAACUGGGACAAAAUUGCAUUCGCGUUUAACAAAUACAAAAGUAUAUCUUAUCAAAACAUUGACUAAGAACCAAGAAAAAACAAAAACACAAAAAUUGCUAAUAGCAUUUCAUUAUUAAUAAUAAAAAUGUUAUAAUGGUAGCAAAAGAACAAGGUAUGAUAAACGUUUUCUAGCGACUCGAUUUGUUUUGAUGGUGUAAUUAAUGCUUUUAGGAAUAUGUUUGAAACAUCUAUGUAAGUUUAAUAUAAAGGUACAGAUUGAUAUAAAGAAGUGACAAAGCAUAAUGUUAUAUGAGAAUAAGUUGUAUUAAAUUGUGUUACAAAACCGUACUGAUGAGAUAAACAUUAAUACAAAUGUUGGGGUCUGGUCAUGGUUACGUUAUCAUCAUUUACAAGGUAAGUUGUCAGCAUUUCGGUGUUAACAUGAAUACCGAUGCAGGGGUCUAAUCAUUGUUACGUUAUCAUCAUUUACAAGGUUAGUAGUCAGCAUGUCGGUGUUGACAUGAAUACCAAUUAUACGGUUAUAUUUGUAGGACUCGGAGGUACGAUGGGGACGCUGAGGUGCGAUGGUCACGCUGAAGUGCGAUGGUCUACGCCGAAGUGCGAUGGUCCGUACGCUGAUGUGCGAUCGUCUGUUUGGUCCGAAUGAUUGCUAGUUUAAAACCUAAAUAUUUGCAAUUAUUAUAAAAAGUUUAUUGUUAAUAGUUAAUAUAUAAAGCAACAUUCAUUAUUGUCUAUGGUUGCAUACUAAGUGAGAGAUCGUCAUCUUCAUUUUAUUACAUUUGGACAUAAUUCUUCAUUCAUUACAGAGAUGGGUCCGAUUACUUCAAUGUAUUGAUUAAAUUACAAUUACUUUGUCAUUUGUACGAUUAUUAAUAAGAUUACUUCAUUUCUGAAAGUGUCUGAUUAAAUAAUGUUACAUUGCAAAGUAAUCAUGAUUACAUCUGAUUACAAUGAAUUAAAAAAAUAACAUUUUGAAUGAUGAGAAUGAAUUAACGUUUAAUACAACAUUAGUUCUGUUUAGAGAGAAUUUUGUUUUAUAUAUUUUAAAAUGAUAACUCCAAACUUCAUCUAUUAAAUAAACCACAAAAGUUACUACAGACAUACAGAACAAUUGUGUCACCAUUACACUUUAUCAUCAUUAUCUCUGCAUUGACUUCAAUUGAAUAUGGAUUUAUAAAGAUUUGCUGUUUGUCUUCUGACCUCUUCCAGACUUUAUAUGUAUUUCAAGUUGCGGUUUUUGGAAGUUAAAAGUUAACAGAUAAAGAUUAUGAAAAAAAAAUUAAUAGAAUUGCUUAAACAAAUUGUAAACAAAAUACAAGUACUAUAAGUCAAUGCAAUUUACAUGUCAAUCCAAGUAAUACAAAAAUUUGCUUAUAAUAAAACAAGCAUAUUUGUCCAACUUUUAAUUUAGUUUGUGUGCUAAUUAGAUAAAUUUUUCCUUAUCCUAUAUAUUGUCCUACAGCUAUACUCAAUUGGAAAUUCCAAUAAAAACAAACCUUAAUUGGUUUCCUACCUGUCAAUUCAAAGUUUACAAUAAUCACAGUAUUAACAAAAGAUUAUAAUUCAGGGUUAAAGAAAAAUAUAAUAUUGCUUAAAUAUAACAGUUUUUUUUAUCAAAUAUAUAUAUGUACAUCUUUGAAUUGUGAAUAUAUGUACAAUAUCUUUUACUAAGGCCUUCUUAGGCUAAUGAUGACUUUUUUAAUAUUGUAAGUUUAUUUUUUACUGAAGUAUACAAAUCAAUCAACAUGCUUGAUAAAGUAAACCAAACUAUCUUAACUUGUUAAAUAUCUAUUAAAUAAGAAUAACAAAAAGGUUCAUUUAUUGACCAUAAACACAGUUCAAGAUUUUUUCAUUGUAAUCAGAAUGUAAUCAAAUGUAAUCAGGAUUACAGGCAUUUUUGAAAAAGUAAUUGAUUAAUUAAAUUACAUGUAAUCAGAUUUUUGGCUGAUUAAUGAUUACAAUGAUUACUUGAAAAAUUGUAAUCAAUUACAGCUAAUUAACGAUUACAAUUACAAUUACCCCAAGUCUGAUUCAUUAUAAAAUUUUAUCUUUUCUUUGUUUCUCUCAUGUGUUCCUCGCUCACCGUAAGUGUUCUAUUAUGAUUCUGAGAAUCUGUAUACAGACCUAUAUGUAUUUAAAGAAUGUCUGGCUCCAUCCUACGUGAAAAGGGGCCUUUUGUAGAUUUCGAAACAAAAAAUCGUAACAGAAGGUUAACAUUCCUUUAUCCAUCAAUCCUCCCCGUAUUUCGUAGUAUUUGUAGUUUAUGAACCUCUUAUUAUCAUAAAAACUGGACGACUGCUUCUAACAUACACAUUGACUUUAAUGUCGUCAUGAAAAGUAUUGAAAAUUUACAUUUAUGUAGUUUGAGUAAACCAUCGCACUUCAGAGUUACCACCAACGCACUUCGGCGUAGCUAUCAACAAGAUAGCGUCACAAUGCCACCAUCGCACUUCAGCGUGAUCAAAAACGCACUUUAGCGUCAAACCAUCGCACUUCAGCGUGACCAUCGCGGUUCGGAGUACCAUCGCGGUUCAGAGUCCUACAUAUUUAUCAAUUUACUGUGAACGAAAAAUAUGAAUUGUUCGAAAUACUAAGGAUUUUCUCAUCCCAGGCACAUAUUACCUUAGCUGUAUAUGGCACAACUUUUGGAAUUUUUUGUCCUCAAUACUUUUCAUGUUUUUACUAGUUUUAACGUUCUGACUAUUUUGGUCUGAGCGUCGCUUAUAGGGCUUAUGUAGAAGAAAUACACGUCUGUCGUGAUAAUUUUGUCUAAGAUGCAUGUUUUUUUUAUUAGUUGUUAGUGGCUUUGAACUAGCUUUCAGUUAACUACAAGUACUCUCAUAUCAGUACUUAGUGUCUUUUUUUUAUUGGGAUAUACAAGUAUCCGGCCACGUUCACUUUGGGUUUUUGUUAGAUGUAUUUCUAUUUGAAUUUUUGUAAUGAGUUAAGCUUAUUUUAUUUUAAUCCCUCUCAUGAAUGACGCGUUUUUCAAUUGAUUUUUAAAUUUCGUCCUUAUGUUGAACUGUUACAUCACUGUCCCAUGGUAAGGCGUUAGGGUUUGAAAUCCGACUCACAUGUUUAACCCCGACAAAUUCUGUAUGUAUAUGCCUGUCCAGAGUCAGUAGCUUAAGAUGAAUGGUAAAUUAACUGAUUUUUUUUUAAUGCAUUGUUGGCCUUAUGUAAGGGGAUUCUUUAUCUCCUCUUUUGUAUUAUUUAUAUGUAAAUAACAUUGAAAUGGAGCUAAUCAUUCAAAAUUGUAAACCUUAUGAGCUUUAAUUGUUAAAUGUAUAUCUUCUGAUAUAUGCAGAUGAUAUGGUUUCAUUCAGAAACAAUUUACAUAUCUAUUUUACAAAAAUAAAUAUUGUAAUUUUCAGAAAUAGGGGUAAGCCUAAAUAGUGGAAAAUAUUAGCAAGCAAAAUCGAGUGAAUUGUGCAAAUGAUGAUACAAGCAUAACAAUUACCACAAAGCAUCAUUAUUAUAUACUGUUUAAAAAUAACUGUUGACCAUUAAAAAAAAAUAGUUUUUUAAGAUGCCACGGCCAUUUUUAAAAAUGGCUGUUUAUUCAGUUUGAAAAUACUGAUUUUCUGAAAACUUUGUCUAUGAACUUCUUAUUUAGUAACCAAUUAUCUGGUUUGGCUGCUACCUUCAUUGCAUCACCAUGAUCACAUAUUUAUCAAAAAUGAAUAUUUGAUAUAUCCAGUACUUGCGCAUGCGCGAAAAUGUUAAAAAAUGCUUUCAAAAACAUUAAACUUAUUUACUUUAUAUUUAGUGCUUUUGGAUUUCUAAUGAUAUUAUGAAUUGGUUUAAUGAUAUUUUUCAAGGUUAUGAUACACAUGUGUUUUUAACACUUUUACGAAUGUGCAAACUAUUUAUAGACAUCGAGAGCUACUUGUAUGCAAUACCAGGCAAUUCUCAGGUAUUCGAUGGAUAAGGUGAAAAUGUGCUGAAUCCCAGGGAAACAUCAAUUGUAACUGCAGAUCAGCCACUUUUUGAAAUGCCUAAGCAAAUUCACUUGGAAUGGCCUAAUUUAUACGAAAAAGAUAAGUUUAUCGUCAUGUUUGGUGGAUUGCACAUUGAAAUGACUUGUUCUUAAACUCUGGGUGAUAUAUUGCGGGAUAGGGGAUGCACAUGUUGUCUUUCUGAAGCCAAUAUUACAACACAAAGAACGGCAUAUUUUGUUUAUGGAUGUUUCAAUGUACCUGGGACCAGACAGGCGCAUCAGACAACUGCAUGUAUUUUGCUUGAAUUGUUAAUUUCGGAUUAUGAAAGCUAAACUCAGAAUAUAUAACUAUGUCAUGACUCUGUGACGUUCAAUGAUUUAAUAGACUGGUGUAUAGAGUCGACAUCUCGACCACAGUUUCAUUCCUGGCGUUCAAUUAUAAAUUAAGAACGUCUUCUGAUUUUUGUAUUAUGCUCAUUUCAUGAGUGAGAUUUCGUACUUUAAAAACAGUCCAUAUAAAGCAUGAUAGCGUAUUGUUUCAGGUGUUGAUCGUGUAAAUUAUGCUCGAUCGUUACCUAUCUAUCUCCAAGAUAUGACUUCCCUUUCCAAACAUCAUCCACAGGUGGCAAUGGAAUUUGAAAAUGAUAAUUUCACUCUACGUAAGACCAGCAAAUGUCUUUCUUAUAACACAAUUGAUCAGGCACAAAAACAGAACAAUGCAAUUGUGAAGGGCGAUGUUGGUGCCAUAGGAUUAACCAAAGAUCCAAUUUAGACAGUAGCUGGAGCAGGAGUUAGUAUACUAGAAGACGAAUUUGAAAGAUCUUGUGGAUUAGGACAUUCUAUAACAGAUGAACGACCUAAUGAAGACUCUACGAAAACACAAAAAGAUGUCUUUAAACAGCUUUAAAUAGUGAAAAUACACCUACUUCAUGUAAUUGCAGUAAUUCUGAAUAUAUUUAUGGCCCCAUUUCCCAUGUUAUAACAGGAGAUCUUAACAUCGUUCAAGACGAGAGUUAAAAUCAUUCCUCAGUAAAAGGAACUAAAUAUCUCCCCCGUCAAUUGUUAAUUGGAAUGUGUCGUAAUAUCAUCACGACUCACUCAAUACUUACUGUAUGAAUGAUAAAACGGGAAAAAGCUGACAAAAAAUCUUGGACUCUUUUUUUAAUCAGUAAUGAAGAUAUUGAUAUACGUAUUCAACAUUUUAAAGAACAUUUUACUAUAAACCCUUACAACAAUAAACAUUUUCUCGUAUCAAACAAACUAAAAGAACUAGCCAAGGAAUUUGUUUUGUCCCGGCAGAUAAAGCUGCUAAUUAAAUUAUUAUUGUUUGACGUAAAUUUUACAUUGAGGUUCUGAAAAGGAAAUCACAAUUCACCAACAUUCCAAUGACUCCAUUUUCAGAAAACGAAAUCUGCUAACAAACAUAAACUUUUAGGCACCGCUUUACAAGCAGAGCCAAAUACAAUGAAAGUCCCAACUAUGUAUUGGCUUCCGAAGCUACACAAAACCCCUUACAAAUAUAGAUUUAUUUCGUCUUCAAGCCAUUGUUCAACUACUAAAUUGUUUAUUCUUCUUACCAGCACACUUGGUACAAUUAAAACCCUGAUAAUAAAUUGUUCAAAUAAGGCCUUCGAAAAAUAGUUGGAAUAAAUUACUUUUGGAGUGUCAAGAACUCGUUGAAGUACUUGAUAAAUUGCAUGCUUAUAUUGGUGAUUUUGAAUCUGUUCAAAGUUUUUGAUUUUUCUACCCUGUAUACCACAUUGCCUCACAUUCUCAUUAAGAAAAAAAUCACACACCUAAUUAAAUGGGCAUUCAAAAAAUCAGAAUGUGAAUAUAUAUGUUCAAACUCUUUUAGGUCAUUUUUAGUAGCAAUAAACAAAAAAACUAUGUUAAUUGGACAUGCUUUGAUACUAUAUAUGCCCUUGAAUUUUUACUAGAUAACAUUUUUGUUCGCUUUGGGGAUUCCGUAUAUUCGUCAGAUUAUCGGAUUCCAAUGGGGACUAACUGUGCACCACUUAUUGCGGACCUGUUUUUGUAUUGUUAUGAGUUACAAUUUAUGACAAAAAUAAGCAAAGCCCAUCGAAACAACAGCUGAUAAACAAAUUUAAUAAUACUUUUAGAUAUUUGGAUGAUAUUUUGGCUCUCAAUAAUGACGACUUCAGUAUGUAUAUUAAUGAAAUUUAUCCUGUUGAACUUACUUUAAAUAAAGCUAAUACUAACAAUGACCACUGCCCUUUUCUCGAUCUUGAUAUCUAUAUCACUAAUGGAAAGCUGAAUACUAAAAUUUAUGAUAAAAGGGAUGAUUUUUCAUUUCCUAUCGUUAAUUAUCCAUUUUUAGAUGGUGACGUUCCCUUGUCACCAUCUUACGGUGUUUAUAUAUCUCAACUUGUACGAUUCGCUCGUGUAUGUAACAAUGUUUUAGAUUUUAACGAGAGAAAUUUAUGUAUUACUGAAAAAUUAUUACACCAGGGUUUUUCGAUAUCACAAACUAGUCAAAACAUUUACUAAAUUUUAUCAUCGGUAUAAAGACAUUAUUCGUAAAUAUAGCUCAACAUGCAGACUUUUAAUACGUUCAGGUAUUUCACAUCCAAUUUUUUAUGGUAAUAUUCUUUAUAAAGCACAAAGGUGUCAGUAUUCACCUCAGAAACUUACAAAACCUUUGAAUAGACUUAUUAAGAAGGGAUAUAAUUACGAUACUGUUGUCAAGUCAUUAAAGAUUGCAUAUUUUGCGUUAAUAUUGAGUCACUGAUAAGGUCUUUGCAUCGGAACUAAACACAUUUAUUCUAAAAACAGUUGUUGGCAUGACACGGGUUAUGUUCUUCUCAUAUAUGUUAUGAUGGUAUGAUACUAAACCCCUAACGGGAAGGAUUGUGCCUGCCUGAUGUUCAUAUGAUGAAAUCAUAAUCUUUCAGUCAGUUUAGUUGAAGUCUGGAGCUGGCAUGUCAGUUAACUGCUAGUAGUCUGUUGUUAUUUAUGUAUUAUUGUCAUUUUGUUUAUUUUCUUUGGUUACAUCUUCUGACAUCAGACUCGGAUUUCUCUUGAACUGAAUUUUAAUGUGCGUAUUGUUAUGCGUUUACUUUACUACAUUGGUUAGAGGUAUAGAGGGAGGGUUGAGAUCUCACAAACAUGUUUAACCCCGCCGCAUUUUUGCGCCUGUCCCAAGUCAGGAGCCUCUGGCCUUUGUUAGUCUUGUAUUAUUUUAAUUUUAGUUUCUUGUGUACAAUUUGGAAAUUAGUAUGGCGUUCAUUAUCACUGGACUAGUAUAUAUUUGUUUAGGGGCCAGCUGAAGGACGCUUCCG